ACUAUAUAAUAAUAACUAUGGUUUUUAGAAAAAGCCGCGGUAUCUGUGGCCGUGGCUGGUGCUGUCGUGGUCGGUGUGCGCGGCGCUGGUGGUGCUGAGCGUGACCGGCACCGUGCUGCUGCGGUACAACAAGAAGGUGGAAGACAACGCCGAGAUCAGCACCAUCAUCGCCCUAUACUUUCUUACUUCUAUAAUCUUAUUCUACUUCGUGUCGGUGGUAUCCAGUCGGCGACAUCAGAUGGUGCAAGACGACUACAAGUACUUGUCCAAACGACUCGUCAAGCGAGCAACCAGCUACUACUACUAGUUUACUGAAACCAUUAGGAGGAUGAUCUCAUUACAUUAGACAGGUGGAAUUUGUACUAUUUAUUACCAAAUACAUAUGAAGCUAUUCUAUA